GAUUUGCUUAACAUAUAAUCACUAUUUAAGAUAAAAAAUUCAGUAACUCUGUAUCUUAGGAUCAGAACAUGGAAGGAAGCAUUUAAUUAAAACCAAACGCCUCUUUCUAUCUCCUUUUAUUUUGUUUUAUGUUUUUAUCUUCAGAAAAAAAAGUCAAAAUGUGAUAUGUAUUUUUUAACCACUUCUUACAAGGAUCAUCUUUUACUGACUGAGCAUGACUCUGUGGGUAGCACAUAGAAUUCCCUUUGCGAUUCACAAAUUUGCAGUGUUCUUUAGGAUGAUCACUCUGUCCACAGCUGCUUCAUUGCUGGAUUUAUAUGACAAGCAUGUCUUAUUUCCCCUGCAAUUAAUCAGACAGAAAGAUACCAUUGAUGCCUAGAAAAAUAAAAUUAUUCUUCAUUCUUUGUUACUAAUAUUUUUUCAGUGUCUUCCUAUGAAAAAUGAAAGCAAGGCUUCUCUCGCUCAGGAGUGCAGCUGGUGCCUUUUAUGAGCUAUAACUGGAUUUCACAAAAAAUGUUGUAUCCAGUUGGCUUACAUCAAAACACUCCAAAAUAAGAAUUCUUACGCUCGUUUGGCCCCUGCCUUUGUUCAGAGUGCAGCCACCAUCUGCUUGGAGUGCUAGCAUGUAUGUAAGACGUAAUCCCUCUUAGGAGAAACACUUUCCUAAAAUGAGACUGGGUUUUAGCAAAAUAUAAAUAAAAAGCCAUACAGCUAGUAACAAAAGGAUUCUCUGACUGCUUUGUAAUUUUCCAUCACAUUGAUUUUUCAGCAGAAAAUUCAGGUUUUUACAAGGUAAUGUAUUAUCCAGAGGACGGCUUUCCUUCAACUUUUAUGCUGAGAAAAAUGGUAGGAAUAUUUCAUUCCAGAGGUUUUUUCACUUAAAUCAAACUGUUUUAGUUUUUGAAACUACCCUCCAAGGAAUUUUACUUUGAGUCAACAAUUGUCAUUCAGAGGUGAUAUAGUUUUGAAUGACAGAUGCUCUCCUUUUUUCCUAUGGACUUGUUCACUGGCUGGAUUACGUAUCCAUGAUGCAUUACUGACUGUCUCCUCCACGACUGAGCAUCUUGCGUGUUUUGGAAUUCUAUUUUGGAUAGGGAGAUUAGCCCAGGAGAGCUGUUAGACAAUACAUGCAUUUUAAUGUUGAUCUGAAUGCUCCUGAGAAGUUCAGUAAGCCAGAAUGAAUAUACAACAAGGCACACAAAGGCAAUUUAAAAAGAUUGCCAUGUUUUGCUUCAGUACAAAAAUCCCAAACAAAAUAUCUUAAUCUCCAUUAUCCUUUCUUUCACAUUGUUUUUUGUUCCCAUGUUAUUCUCCUCACCCUUUCCUUAUUAUGUCAACCUCCAAUCUAUCUUGAAAUAAAUCGUCCUCUUUUCAACUGCAUAACACAACAAUCAUUCUUUUUUCCUCCUGGCUGUAAACUCGAACUUUUGAAGAGUCUGAUCUUACCCUUCUAGCCAGAAAGAGGAGGAGAGAUCAAAGAACUCGGUCCAUCACCUUCAGGAGGAUUCAUGCCUGGAGGUCAAAAGAGGACUGUCAGCCAUUAUUGUAGAACUUAGUAUUUGUGGAUGAUUUUGCUCAGAAAUAAAACACAGAUGAGAUGAGAAUGGGACCAAGGAAAGAGUCCUAUGGAGAUCCACAGAGCACAGGGAGGAGAGGGGAGGACGUGAGGAGCAUCUUCUGAAAAGGCUAUAGUGGAACAUUUUGAGAGAGCUCAUUUUCUGAACAGGAAAAUCUGCAUAAUGCAAGCCUGGUAUUCCCCCUUGAAAGAGUGAAUUUGGACUCAUGAUUUUUGCAGUUUGUUGUCAUGCAUUCAUCAAAGUGAGAAGGCCUGAGGACCAGGCAUCUAACUGCAGGUGGCUGAACUUCUUGGAAAGUUCUCAUAAAAGAACUGAACAGUUACUGAGAAUGAAGAUAGGAGACAUAUAAGUACUAUCACUAAUUUAAAGUGUCUGCAUGAUUCUGUGUCAUCUAUAUAGUUUUGGCUAAAGGCACUUCCUCAAGACUUGGUGCUGUUAUUGUUCCAUGUCCUGGGAUGUUUUGAAGAGGACGAUGAUCUUCUAACUGCUUUUGGUUUGAUUUAAAAGCUUGUCCAAGACCUGUUUUAAUUCCAAAGUUGUUGUUUUUUAUGUGUAUAUUUCAAUUUAUCUUCAUGAAGACACAAAAAUCAUGUGAUACUUGAUGAAUCCAUAUGUAAGAACAACAUUUUAAGCAUGAUUCUUUGGAAUAAUUUAUAUUUAGUUCCAUGUGUAAAUCAGGUUCUAGGUUUAAGCUGAAGAUCUAUGUAUUAUAAUUAAGAAAUAUAUUCACAGAAAGAGAGAUAUGAUAAGUAUGAAAGGGAUUCAUUAGCAAAGGAAGUUACCUGGGAAGAUUGCAAGUCAACUGUGGUCUGUUUUAUUCAUUAGAUGGAAUAUCUGGGGUAUGGGGGCCAUCAAAUUUAUUGUAAAAAAACAUAGAAAAUAUUGUUUAAUUCAGAAUUUUUUUGUGUUUUACAGUUUCAGCAUUUCAUUGUAAACUUUGAUGACUGUAAGAAAAUGUCUCAUUUUCUCACUUUGAUUGACGCAAUAGACAGGAACAUGCAGUCAAAAGAAUAAUGUCGAUCCUUUUUCUGAGCAAUCAAAUAGAAAGGAAACAAGCUGUUUGUAUUUUUUGUCUUGAGUAUUGCAACUUAAUUGUCCACUUAGCAUUAUUUACGUGUGUGUAAAGGUAUUGUUCAUUACUGUUAAAAGUCUCAGUACUUGUUCUUCCAAAUCUUGACCUCACAUAAUAAAUACAUCUUUGACUGAACACAUGUGAGAAUUAGGAGAUAGGAGGGCUAGUUGUGUUAAAGGGUAGUAAAUUGACUUCUACUUGCAGGUUUUCAAGGUAAUUGAUUUCCCAUUUUUUGUGUUGGAGAUCUUGGAUCUCGGAUCCCAAUUCAAGAAGCCGCCUUUUUCAAGAAGGCAAAUAAACACAUGCUUGCAUUCAUCCCAAAGCAACAACUUAACAAUAUUUUAUCCCACUGGCUAGAAUAUUGAAAAACUGCAGACAAUAAAUGCUUAUUUUUGUAAAUAGCAAUAUACACUUUGAAUGGAAAGGGCAAAAUGACUUUGAAAUAUUUUUUCCCAAAGUUGUGGGAAACAGAUUAUAUAAAUCUAUUAUGCAUUACAAAAAUAAUUUAUUUUAUUGUUCAAUGU